rnacentral:lncRNA from 1 species
CUGAGUUCACCCUCACGUGGUGGUUUGGUGUGAAGUGAACUCUAAAGUUUUAACCUCAGGAGUUAUCCAACCGUGCCUUUCAUACUGAGGUAUGAAUAUAAUAGGGUUACCGUGCCCCUCCAAUAGGCUGGUCCACGGAACCUGUCCACUGCAGCGACCAAUUUAUAACCCACCAAUUCAAUAAAAUUCAACAGCAUGACAUGACAAUUAUUUUAUUUUACAACCUCUCAAGGUAAAUCAACAGUUCAUACUUUUUCAGCACAUUUACCAAAUCCAGCCACUCAUGCCCACAUUAUCAUAAGCCAUUCAAUUUAAACCAUGAUUUACAACACAGCAAUUAGUCUCCAAUUACUCCAUUUUUAAAACCAUCAUUCAAUUUCAAGACAAUUUUAUAAAAUCAUUUCAUUUAAAUCACAUUUUAGUUACAAAACAC